rnacentral:rRNA from 1 species
GGCGAACGGGUGAGUAACGCGUGAGGAACCUGCCUCAAAGAGGGGGACAACAGUUGGAAACGACUGCUAAUACCGCAUAAGCCCACGGUGCCGCAUGGCGCAGAGGGAAAAGGAGCAAUCCGCUUUGAGAUGGCCUCGCGUCCGAUUAGCUAGUUGGUGAGGUAACGGCCCACCAAGGCAACGAUCGGUAGCCGGACUGAGAGGUUGAACGGCCACAUUGGGACUGAGACACGGCCCAGACUCCUACGGGAGGCAGCAUG